AGAAUCAACGCUGGCGGCGCGCUUAACACAUGCAAGUCGCACGAGAAAGGGGAGCAAUCCCUGAGUACAGUGGCGUACGGGUGAGUAACACGUGGAUAAUCUACCUUCUAGUGGGGAAUAACCCAGGGAAACCGGGCUAAUACCGCAUAAGCUCGAGAGAGGAAAGCAGCAAUGCGCUGGAAGAGGAGUCCGCGGCCGAUUAGCUAGUUGGCAGGGUAAAAGCCUACCAAGGCAGAGAUCGGUA
rnacentral:rRNA from 1 species